UAACGCAAUAAGUAGACCGCCUGGGGAGUACGGUCGCAAGAUUAGAACUCAAAUGAAUUGACGGGGGCCCGCACAAGCGCUGGAUUAUGUGGAUUAAUUCGAUGCAACGCGAAAAACCUUACCUGGCCUUGACAUGUAGCGAACUUUCCAGAGAUGGAUUGGUGCCCGAAAGGGAGCGCUAACACAGGUGCUGCAUGGCUGUCGUCAGCUCGUGUCGUGAGAUGUUGGGUUAAGUUCCGCAACGAGCGCAACCCUUGCCAUUAAUUGCCAUCAUUUAGUUGGGCACUUUAAUGGGACUGCCGGUGACAAACCGGAGGAAGGUGGGGAUGACGUCAAGUCCUCAUGGCCCUUAUGGCCAGGGCUUCACACGUAAUACAAUGGUCGGUACAGAGGGUCGCCAACCCGCGAGGGGGAGCAAAUCCUAGAAAGCCGAUCGUAGUCCGGAUUGUAGUCUGCAACUCGACUACAUGAAGUCGGAAUCGCUAGUAAUCGCGGAUCAGCAUGUCGCGGUGAAUACGUUCCCGGGCCUUGUACACACCGCCCGUCACACCAUGGGAG
rnacentral:rRNA from 1 species